UACUGCUAUCAGUGUUCGAUUAAGCCAUGCGAGUUAAAUGUUCUUCGUGAACAUGGCGUACUGCUCAGUAACACGUGGAUAACCUGCCCUAAGGUCCGGCAUAACCCCGGGAAACUGGGGAUAAUACCGGAUAAACCAUAGAUACUGGAAUGUUCUGUGGUUAAAAGUUCCGGCGCCUUAGGAUGGAUCUGCGGCCUAUCAGGUAGUAGUGGGUGUAAAGUACCUACUAGCCGACGACGGGUACGGGUUGUGAGAGCAAGAGCCCGGAGAUGGAUUCUGAGACAUGAAUCCAGGCCCUACGGGGCGCAGCAGGCGCGAAAUCUUUACAAUGCGGGAAACCGCGAUAAGGGGACACCGAGUGCCAGCAUAUUAUGUUGGCUGUCCACCUGUAUAAAUCACAGGUGUUAGCAAGGGCCGGGCAAGACCGGUGCCAGCCGCCGCGGUAACACCGGCGGCCCGAGUGGUAGCCACUAUUAUUG
rnacentral:rRNA from 1 species